rnacentral:lncRNA from 1 species
GAGAAUGUGAAGCUGGCACCCAGCCCUGUGUUUUCUGUAAUAUCAAUUAUUCCCGGAGAACGCUGCUGCUUAUUGGGCUGGGAGGUACCCAGAAAGAGGGAAGUAUCACCAGCUCACCUCUAAGCUGCAGAAAUAAUAUUGCCAAGGGACACAGACACACUCUCCCAAAGAACAUGAUCUGCAGCUUUUCCUUUACUGCUCAAGUGGAUUCUCCAGGCCAAGUGGAAUCCGCAACUGAGGCCCCGAGCCCUCCCCAGCCAGCUCCACAAGUCAAAGCUCUAAUUCACUCUGAAAGGGCUUCAGCACCACCCCUGUGAGGUCCUUAAAUGUUUUAUGAGCUCCCUGAAAUGCUCAGAUAAUUAAAAACACUUUCUUAACUUAAUAGCUUGGCUUAAUGAAACCAGGACUUUAUGUUUUAUUUGGAAAGGGGUGAACAUCCCAGUCAUACUUAUUAAUAUUUUUAAGAGUAUGCCCAAUUGUGUCCAGGGAUGGAGGGAAAUCAUUGCUUCAAGGAGGGAAAUGGGCUUUCCUGAGUUUCUGACAAGUCUUGGGCUUAUUAGAGCUCAUUACAUCCAGGAAGCCUGAAAACCUAAAUUAGCAAUCACCACAUAUGACGUGGCAGGCUAUUAUUAAGGAGGCCACUUAUUGUAGAAACAUGGAAUUCUCAAUUAAAAAGUAGUCCACCU